UACAGGGGUGCAAACGUUGCUCGGAAUUAUUGGGCGUAAAGCGCACGUAGGCGGUUCGUUAUGUCGGAUGUGAAAGCCCUUGGCUCAACUGAGGAAGUGCAUCCGAAACUGGCGAGCUAGAGUAUGUAAGAGGGUCGCGGAAUUCCCGGUGUAGAGGUGAAAUUCGUAGAUAUCGGGAGGAACACCGGUGGCGAAGGCGGCGACCUGGGACAAUACUGACGCUGAGGUGCGAAGCGUGGGAGCAAACAG
rnacentral:rRNA from 1 species